UAGUGGCGAACGGGUGAGUAACACGUGGGCAAUCUGCCCUGCACUCUGGGACAAGCCCUGGAAACGGGGUCUAAUACCGGAUAAUACCCUCGCAGGCAUCUGUGAGGGUUAAAAGCUCCGGCGGUGCAGGAUGAGCCCGCGGCCUAUCAGCUUGUUGGUGAGGUAAUGGCUCACCAAGGCGACGACGGGUAGCCGGCCUGAGAGGGCGACCGGCCACACUGGGACUGAGACACGGCCCAGACUCCUACGGGAGGCAGCAGUGGGGAAUAUUGCACAAUGGGCGAAAGCCUGAUGCAGCGACGCCGCGUGAGGGAUGACGGCCUUCGGGUUGUAAACCUCUUUCAGCAGGGAAGAAGCGAAAGUGACGGUACCUGCAGAAGAAGCGCCGGCUAACUACGUGCCAGCAGCCGCGGUAAUACGUAGGGCGCAAGCGUUGUCCGGAAUUAUUGGGCGUAAAGAGCUCGUAGGCGGCUUGUCACGUCGAUUGUGAAAGCCCGAGGCUUAACCUCGGGUCUGCAGUCGAUACGGGCUAGCUAGAGUGUGGUAGGGGAGAUCGGAAUUCCU
rnacentral:rRNA from 1 species